AGCAGCCGCGGUAAUUCCAGCUCCAAUAGCGUAUAUUAAAGUUGUUGCAGUUAAAAAGCUCGUAGUUGAAUUUCGGGAUCAAUACGUCGGUCGUGCUUCGGUACGUACUGGCGUCAUUGGUUUCUCCCUUCUGACGAACCACGAUGUCAUUAACUUGGUGUCAUGGGAAAUCAGGACUGUUACUUUGAAAAAAUUAGAGUGUUUAAAGCAGGCUCACGCUUGAAUACAUUAGCAUGGAAUAAUGAAAUAGGACGUUCGAUCCUAUUUUGUUGGUUUCUAGGAUCAACGUAAUGAUUAAUAGGGAUAGUUGGGGGCAUUAGUAUUCAAUUGUCAGAGGUGAAAUUCUUGGAUUUAUUGAAGACUAACUACUGCGAAAGCAUUUGCCAAGGAUGUUUUCAUUAAUCAAGAACGAAAGUUAGGGGAUCGAAGACGAUCAGAUACCGUCGUAGUCUUAACCAUAAACUAUGCCGACUAGGGAUCGGAUGAUGUUAAUUUUUAAUGACUCAUUCGGCGCCUUAAC
rnacentral:rRNA from 1 species